rnacentral:lncRNA from 1 species
AUAUGUUGUUUAUAAGACAUCCCUGUUGUGUAUUUUAUUUGGCAGCUGCCCCCAAAAUAGUUAAACUCUUGGGUCUUUGGAACAUUGAAAAAUAUUUAUUUCAAGUCAAAUGUUGAUGUACCAGUUGAUGUUUGCUUCACAAAAAGUAAAUUUUAUCAUCAUCAGGCCGGACUGGCCAUUGGGCAUACCGGGCAAAUGCCCGGUGGGCCGCGAUGGCCGUGGGGCCAAGGCCGGCAGGGGAUCUCCUCAGCCGGCCCCUGCAGGGCCAGCGCUAUCCGAGCGCCGGCCCUGCUGUGGGCCGGUGGGGAGAUCUCCCUCACCGGCCCAGAGGCAUGGAGAUGCGGCCGCCGGCUGGGGAGGGAGGCAGGGAGGAGAGAGGACCGGCGGAGCUCUAACAAGCAGCUCCGCCAGGUCCUCUCGCGGGAUUCUGAGCAUUGCCGCGGUUACCACAGAAACGCUCAGAUCUCGCGAGAGUGAACUCUAACCUGCAGGUUAGAGUUCACUCUCACCACUGGGCCACCAGGGAAGGAUGGCAGAACGGCUCCCCUCCCUCCAUGGCAGAACGGAUCUCCCCCCCCCCCUCCCAGGAUAAAGGUAAGAAGGGAGGGGGGGAAAUAAUUUUUUUUUAAUUAUUUUUUUAUUAGUAAAAAAAAUAUAUUUAAAUUUAAAUAAAAAAUACAUUCACUCACACACACAGCACCCAGACACAGCACCCCCAGACACACACAGCACCCCCAGACACACACAGCACCCCCAGACACGGCAUCCCCCAGACACACACAGCACCCCCAGACACAGCACCCAGACACACACAGCGCACCCAGACACACACAGCGCACCCAGACACACACAGCGCACCCAGACACACACUGCACCCAGACACACACUGCACCCAGACACACACUGCACCCACAGACACACACAGCGCACCCAGACUCACACAGCGCACCCAGACUCACUCAGCGCACCCAGACAGACACAGCGCACCCAGACUCACACAGCGCACCCAGACACACACAGCGCACCCAGACUCACACAGCGCACCCAGACACACACAGCGCACCCAGACACACACAGCACCCCCCAUACACACACAGCACACUCCCACACAUAUACAGCACACACAUAUAUAUAUAUAUAAAAUAACCCUCAGUGAGUUAACAGACAAAGAAAAUUAGAAACCUAGAAUGUGACAGCAGAUAAAAGCACCCUCACACACAGCACCCCUCUUACAUACACACACUGCGCCCCUCACACAUACAAUAAGUCCAAGUAUAUUAUAUAUAUAUAUACACACACACACACACACACUACAGCACCCCUCACACUGCACCACUACACACAUUACGCUCCAGAUACACACUAGAUCCCUUACCCUAAAUGCACUCUUAAUCCUCUACACACACACACACUGGGUCCUUUACACAGUAGAUCUCCUACACACACACACUACAUUCCUUGUCAGCAAACACAUACAACAUUCUCUAAACACACCCUCUCUGCAACCCCUAGACACACUACGUCACCUAUACACACACACUUCAGCCCGUAUGCACACACUCGCUGCAUCCCCUAUAAAACUAUGCCCCCUAUACAUACACUCUCUACAGCCCCUAGCCACACAUAUUACACCACAAACACAAAUUAAAUUGACCUAUUUAUACAAUACCACACCGCACUCUACACAUACGCAAUCCCACAAGCAGGCUCCAAACAUAUGCACCAUGCACUUUCCUGGCCCUUUUGUCCUCUGGUAUCCCACUUGUGGAGACACCAGAGACAAUUUAAAAGCAAACACAGCGCAAGCAUGUUAUUAAAUUUGCUUGCGCUGCGCAGAAUAAAUUCAGGGCCUUUUUCUAAUCCCAGAGCACUUCAGCUGGGGCUCUGCGCAUUGAACCAACAUGCUCACUUUGAGAGGGGGCGUGUUGUCAUUAGUGAUGACAAAUCACACACUCUCUGGCCCCGCCCCCUUGUUAGGGGGCUGCUCUGAUUGAAAAAUGCCCGUGCCUAAUUUUUUUCCCAGUCUGGCCCUGAUCACCAUCGUGAUACUGAGCACUAUAGAUAGGUAUAUGACUAGGUAUUGUUAGGGUUAAGAGUUAGGGGGCAAAUGAUUAAGGGUCCUGUAGAUUGUAACUCCUAUCAUUUCAACCAGACUUUCCAACUCAAAUUACCCCCCAACUCUUUUUAGCUGUAGUUUAAUGGAAUGUCAACAUUUAAAAUGUGUCUAGUUAAUGGCAAUGUCUUAAAUAUACACCGCAUAAUUCAUAGGGAUAGUAUACAGGGAGGUUUUCAUUAGCAGUGUGUAUUAUUGAUGACUUGGGAAGGAAUGUAUUGGUGUUCAAAGACAGAGUAUUGUUUUACACUAGGUCCACAUUCAUGCUGUCCUUUAUUUAUGUUUUUUUUUUUUUUUGCACAAGUAUUCUCAAAUGACCAGGUGCUAAACAAAACAACAAUGAAUAAAUGAAGGGGGGAGGUCAUAUUUAUGGCUACUAUAAAAUGAUAGAUUAUAGCAAAUAAUAUUUGGGAGUGAAAGCACCUUUUAAACAGGGCAAUUGAAAAGGUUUGUCAGAGCAGAACAGUAAAGCAGGGGGACGUGGCCUGUAAAUUGGCAAAUCCCCCUUAAAACUGGACAGAGUCAUGUGUGGGAGGGGAUGAAGCUAAACAUCACUUUUACCAAACUUAAAAGAACGAUUUGACCCAAAAGACUAGAAAUUGGUUAUCAAAAGUCCCGGGGAUAAACACAGCAUUUCCAAAAUAUAUUUAUAUGUUUUGUUAACAUUAUUUAAGUGGUUCAGCAUGAUUAGCAGUUGUUGCAAACCCCAUUAUUUCUUUCAGGGAUAAGGUCAAGUUCUAGGUAUUUUGAUAAUCUGAGUACCACUGUGUAUUUUAUGUAUUUAACAUACAAUUUUGUGGAACCAGGACAUACUUGAAAAGAAUAAAUAAUAGUUUAUGGCAAGUCACAUGCCUUCUGCAAGGAUUACCAGCAACAGUAACAAUUCUACUUUCAGUAGAGUAGUCUUGUUACAUUUAAAAUAAGAUUAUUAUUUUUUCAAAUAAUAAGAUUUAAAAUUAUUUCUACCUUGAUAUUAUGUGAUUUAUGCUUUAAACUUCCCUUCAAAUGGAGAGAGGCAGAGGCUUUCACGAAGAGACUGGCACAAAAGGGGAAGAAAGCUUGGUAAAUUGUACCAUCCUACUUCAUUCUGAAGGGGGUGGGGGCAACACCUAAACGGUGAGUUGGAUUUUAAAUCUCUAGGAAUACAUGAUUCAAGAGAUUGGAGUGGAGCCUUUCGAUUUGAAGGUGCCUCUCCACAACGGGUGUUGAAACUGCACCUGAAAGGAAAAUAAAUGAAUUAAGUAAAUAACUCCGCUUGUUUGGAAUACAUGUUUGAAUGUAGAUAAUAUUGGUUGAUGAGUUGCCCAAAUACCUGUGAAAAGCUCAUAUUUACAACGGUGGUAAAAGCAAACAGUAAAGGAAGCCUCAGUCUACCUGUGAAGAAGAUAUCAAAGAGGGAGCCAUAAAUACACGUCUUUUUUGGAAUUACUUGAAGACCCAACUCGGUGAGAUGGGACAUUAAAGGGGCAUCACACUAAACAGCCGGUUGUGGGUUAUUACCAGCUCAUUUGCAUAAUUUAGGCCAUAACAGCCAAGUUGGGAGAUAUAUCCAAAUCAGCUGGCUUAGCCUAAAUAAUUGGCUUCCCACAAUUGCCUUUAAGUAAGUAGGACUUAUUUCUUUUUAAACUUAAAAAUCUCUAGGUUAUAAUAUUAUGUUUGUCGGUAGGAAAUGUAUAAUUGAUUUAACAUAUAAUAAUUUAUUAUAUCAUUUUAUGCUGAUACUUUCUGUAUGUACGUUAUGCAGUUAUGUAUAGUAGUUGUUGGAGGUGAUGCUAACAAAGAACAUGCAUUUAUUUAUAUUGAUAUCUGAAUUUUAUAUAAUAUACAUGUGUGGGUUAUAUAUUCAAUAAAUAGUUGAGGCCAAAAUAGUUACGUUGGAGAAAAAGUCCAACAUAAUUUAGUGGCAAGUUGUUUCAUACUCAGGUUUUUUGAGAUAAAUUUAGCAAUUUUGUCAAUGUGCUACACCAUACAGGUUUAAUGUGUGAAUUUAGACAACAUUGAGAAAUUCUCCAAGUUCCAUGUUUUCUGUAUGCCAAUGUUGCCAAGGAGGUUUAAAUUUCACCUCCAAAAAUACACACAUUAGUGGAGUGAAUAACCCUGUCUCUGGCUAUUGAAUAUACUCUAGAACUAUGGCUUAUUCUGCGGCUCUAAAAGGCAUUGCUUAGAAUAUCAAAUACAGUAUAAAUGUAUAUCUACAUGUACAUUUAUAUAUGUCAUGAAAUACAUCGCUGUGUAAUAUGGCUGGAAAAUAAAUAUAUUUUUUUAUAAA